rnacentral:rRNA from 1 species
AGAACAACGUACAACUCUUAUCGAUAAGCCAUUGGAGGGCAAGUCUGGUGCCAGCAGCCGCGGUAAUUCCAGCUCCAAUAGCGUAUAUUAACGUUGUUGCAGUUAAAAAGCUCGUAGUUGAAGUGAGGGAGUGUGUGUUCAUGAGAGCUAGUCUCGAGUGUUCACAACCUCCCCCCUCCAAUCGGUGUAGUGGGGUAUUCASUUAUUCUACUACUCCUUUGGUCGUUUACUGUGAGAAAAUUAGAGUGUUCAAAGCGGGCGUUUGUUUGAAUAGAUUAGCAUGGAAUAAUGAUUGAAGGCUUUCGUGUUCGAUUUGAUUGGUUUGUUCAUGGAAGCAAGGUUAAAAGGAACAGUUGGGGGUAUUCAUAUUCACUAGUUAGAGGUGAAAUUCUCGGAUUUAUGGAAGAUGAACAA